rnacentral:rRNA from 1 species
UCAGUAUUAGGCCCUUCUUCCAAUACGGUUGCUAGUGGUCUUUACUUCCUUAACAGAAUCUUUCAUCUCAUUAAUUUGGGGUGUUUGGGGCCUGUUUCUUUUACUUUGAGAAAAUUAGAGUGUUCAAAGCGGGUUUUCGCCUGGAUAUUACUCUUGGAAUAAUAAUAUAGGACUUUGGUUCUUUUUUGUUGGUGACUUAGAACCGAAGUAAUGAUUGAUAGGGACAGUUGGGGUCAUUCGUACUAUGAAGCGAGAGGUGAAAUUCAUGGACCUUUGUAUGG